CUGGGGCUCCGCGUCUCCCUAGUGGGGGGCUGCCGGGGGCGGCGGGGCCCCGGACCGGCCUCGGCUGGCUGGUCCCCAGGGCGAGGCCGCCCCGGCUUCCGACGGUGGUGUCGGCGUCUCGAGGCCGGCCGCUGAUUCCCCUGUCUUCUUGCUUCUUGGUUUUUUCCCCUCAACUUUCUCCUCUCUCUGUCUCUGCUCUCCCGCUUCUGCCCACCGUCCCCCCUCCCCUCCCCCAGCGGACCUGAAGGAACCAGUGACUUUUUCCUUCCCCAAGUGGGAGUUAUCCACAUCAAGCAUUUCACAACGACACAUCAAGAAAAGUAGGCAGGUUCAAGUCAACCAUGAAAUGGUCACUUUUUAACCCCGUCCUGUCCUCAUUAGGGAAAUGCUCAAACACAGUCCGUUUUCAAAGAGCGCUCUUAAUGAGGCGAGCUUGCCAAGUCUACCAGCUGCAGCCCCCGUAAACCAAGGGCCCCACGAAGAAAGGCGCUGGGGGGUGGGGAGUUCGGAGGCCGUGGAGUGGGGGGCGGUGGGUCUGGGGAGACAGGUAAAGUCGGGGAAAUUGCGAGAACCCCCGCGAGUUAACCCUUUCGGGCACACGCCUCCGGCAGCAGCAGCCUCCCUGCUCCCCUGUUCCCCGCCCUGCAAACCCUCUAGUCAGCGUUCUGACAGCGUUAAUUUCCUUUGUGCGGGUCAUUUCUUCUUUUUGAAAAGCUGGGAUAAAGUUGACAGUCUUUAAAGAUGAAAGAAAAUGAGGUGACAAUCGGGGUUAAUCCAAAUAAAUACUCAUUUCUCUCUCAGAAAUUUUAGGCCACCUCAUCUUAGAUUUAAAAAAAAAAACAAAAAAAAAACCAAAGCAUCACUUUGUUUUGCACAUCACACUGCAUCCCUUUUCUCACCCUCACCAGAUCCUGAGGGGAGGGGGCGGGGAAGCUCUACUGAUAAUACCAGCUUUAACUACUGGAGUUUCCCUUUGAACAAAUAUUCAAUUUAACUGGAGUUAAUUUACCAUAAAAGACAUUCCCCUUGGCAGGAAUGCACUCAUAUCCUUGAACACACCUCUUUGAAUGCCUGGACUCUUACAGAAGCCAUUAUUUCAGGUCUCUUUAAAAAUCCAAUGCCCAUCUCUCUCCUUCUCUCCCUCCCUCCCUCCUUCCCUCCCUCCUCACCACACCACCCCCAGUGAAAUCCUGGCACCCAGAGAGCUCUCCUUUCAGCCAGAGAGCCCAGAACCAGCCGUUGUCCCCUGGCAAAAGAGGCCCAGUGCUGAGCCCUGGGCAAGUGUCUCCAGACAUCGCCACCCCUCCUCCCCUUAUUGGUUUCCCUUCCCAACAGAAACCAUUUCCUUUUGCCACAAAAACUAGGUUGCAUCCAAAAGUUUCUCACAAGCUUAAAAAGGAAAAAACGAAAAGUUGACAACCAUUACACAGAAGAGCCCACAAAAGCUGCAGCAGCACCAGGGUGAAGAAGCAGCGUCAGACCCAGGUCUGCAGGACACACCAAAGAACUCCCCCAAGUCACGCAAGGGAGAAAAUGAACUUCUCUACUGGCCUCUAUCAGGGAAGCUAAUUUUUUCCCCUUCUUUCUUGAAAGUUUCCCAAACCCCAUGACUCUGAUUUCCAGGUCAGAAAUUCAAGUUUUAUUUUUAUUAUUCUAUAUACUUUGCAUAUGGAGAGUCUCUGAAGGAACUUUGUUAUGGGCUGAUUAUUGUGAGCCUAUUGUGUGCAAGGUGCUGGAGAAGGAAUUCAGCCAGCCCUGGGCAGGGGUCUGCGAACCCCAAGUCAGCUCCUACUUUCUCCCUGCAAGUAGCAGCCACCUCCUCCCUAGAAUUAGCAGGGGUUGGGAUCUGGCAACCCAAUAUUUAAGAGGUUUGAAAUUCUACAUGAGGCAUUUCUGAGUUAUGUCAUAAAUAACGAUUUCUUUAAUAAUGUGGAAAAUAAGAAGCCUGCUAAAAUUUUUAACUUACAUUGGUUUAAGAGAAAUGAAAACUUAUGCCCACACAAGACUUGUACAUGAAUGUUCAUAGCAGCCUUUUCAUAAUAGCCAAAAAGGGAAGGCAAUCCAAAUGUUCAUCAGCUAAUGAACCGAUAAACAUCAUGUGGUAUAUCCAUAUAAUGGAGUGCUAUUCAGCAAUAAAAAGAGAUGAAAUGUUGACACAUGCAACAACAUAGAUGAACCUUGAAACAUCAUGCUAAAUAAAAGCCUGUCACAAA